ensembl:lncRNA
CGAGGAGAACGUGAAACACCUGGCGAAACCAGACUUUUCCCUCUUCCCUCGCUUCGGGCAAACUUGCCUGCUUAGGGUCAGGUUGAAAGCCGGCGCCUGACUUGUGGACAGGUGUUCCCCCCCGCCGGAGAGAGGCCCCUCGACUGAAACAGAAAACUUUUAGAUUUGUGGUUUUAUACUGCGCACCAGAAGCGAGAAGUUCGAAAAAAAUGCCUUACCUUGUAUACACCUCUUUUUUAUAACUCGAAAGGAUUGAGUUUUUAUUACUAUUACAGCUCACGGCGAGGCUGUCCAAGCUGUUAAGAAGAUGUACCUACAAAAAGGCCCUGACUGAAGCAGUCAGAGAUAAAGAAAGAAAGUUAAGGCGCUCAGUCGUGUCCAACUCUUUGCGACCCCAUAGACUGUAGCCUACCCGGCUCCUUCGGCCAUGGGAUUUUCCAGGCAAGAGUACUGGAGUAGGUUGUCAUUUCCUUCUCCAGAGAAUCUUCCCGACCCAGGGAUCGGACCCAGGUGUCCGGCAUUGUAAGCAAGACGCUUUACCCUCUGAGCCACCAGGGAAGUCAAAGAUAAGAAGACGUUUAUUCAUAGAGAAGCUAAAGGAAGAUAGCGUCUCAAGGAGGGAGUGACCAACUGCGUUGAGUGCUGCUAAGAAGAAAGAGCGUGAAAAAUGUCAGUUGUAUAUAGUAGCCGUGGUAGCCACUGGUAACCUUCAGUUCAGUUCAGUCACUCAGUCGUGUCCGACUCUUUGCGACCGCAUGAGUCGCAGCACGCCAGGCCUCCCUGUCCAUCACCAACUCCCGGAGUUCACUCAGACUCACGUCCAUCGAGUCUCCUGGUAGAAUGGAAGACCUUACUGAAAUUAAAUUUUUGGACACUGGACCCAUCUAUUUUUUUGAUCAGAUAAAACCAAAAAGGAAAAUAUGGGAAAAGAGAAAAUGUGAAGACCACUUCCCCCUUUUGGAAUGCACUGAAGGAGCUAACUAUAAUCCUACAAGGAGUAUAUUUAAAGAAGUAGAGAAAGCAAGAUUUUCUACAGUAGCUGAAUCUGGGGAGAAAGAUGAGUUCAUCUCAUCUAGUGUCUCACAAACUUCUAGUGUUUCUAUGUUAUCUACUAAUUUUAAAUUUUCCAAACUACAAAUGCAAAAGUCUCUAUUUGAAGAAUACAAACUCACUGCUGCUGAAAUACUGUACGAACUUGAGGAGAUAUUGCAGAAAUAUGCUGUGUAUAACAUUACUUUCCCUGUGGGAAUUGUAAAUCUUGUGGAUUACAGUUGGCAUGAUCUUACUGCAGAUGCUUAUAAGUAUGCAACCAAAAAUCCUAUGUUGAAGAAACAUCGUGCCUUCCAAGAUGAUACCAGUAUCAUGACUAUGAUCGACUUAAAGGGAUACGAAAUCAACAGCUGCUCAAGAGAAGAAUAUCAUAAGAGGAACUGCCUGGUAAAAGUAAAAGAAGACCAUCAUGAUGCAGCAAGUAAACCUAUGGUAAAAACAUCUCUUCUCGACCAAAAGCAGUGUUCCCAGAUCUCCCAGGAUAGCAGUCUACCUGUUGUCACCCACUUCUCACUGACAUCCAAGAUUUGUUUAGAAAAUGGUUGGAUCCUACAGCAUCCUUCCUCAAAAUUGGAAAUUCUAAAAUUGAAGACAAUUCUUGAUACUGCUGUGAAGAAACUACAAGUAGCCAUAAUGCAAAUAAAAACGGAAGAAGCUAAGCUAAGGAAAGAAGGAUUCAACAAACAGCUUAUCCUGAGCCACUAUAACGAGGAAGAGGUGAACACCAUCCCUGAAGAUUCCCAGUGUUUCUGGCUAGAGUUGCUGAGGAGGAGGACUAAUAUGCCGACAAUCAAGAAGCCUGACCAGAAUUUGAAAAAGUUCCAUUAUGCUCUGACAGAUGGUUCCUCUCUGACCUAAUAUCCUUGUGAAACGCCAAUGGUUGAAGAAGGAUGGGAUGGGUCAGGAGUGAUAAAGGGGCAGCAGGUGGAGUGUUUCUGUUUCAGCAGAAAAUCCCAGAAGCAUUAAAAAAAGAGGUCUGACC